AUCUAGCUGACGUGUCCCAAAUAGGGCGAAACACUCAUCCUGGAU
rfam:Schistosoma haematobium scaffold411_20, whole genome shotgun sequence.